GGCGUGAUGGCGGAGUGGUUAACGCGCAGGCCUGCUAAGCUUGUUCCUUCGGGAGCGCAGGUUCGAAUCCUGCUCACGUCG